GCAUUAAAAACAGACAGGACUCUGGAGUGGAAAUCACUGCAUCGGCUCAAAAUUACUUACAAAAUAUUCUCUGUGAACACAGUUCAUCACUGCAUCCACAAAUGAGGUUAAAACUGAACCAUGCAAAGAGAAAACCAGGUACAAACAGGAUUCAGAAACUUAAAAAUUGUUAAUGAUAACAUCCAAGUGCAGCAGACAGGGGGCAGUAGUGAGCUGUGAGUGAUUUGGCAGCAGAUGCAACUUCAGGGAGCCCCAAUGAAUAUCAACUCUAAACUCUUUUAUGUAAAAAAAAAAUAUGAAAAGAACUUUAGAUGGACAGAGUCAUCAUGAGUAAGAUGAGAAGUUUAUCAUCACAUUAUAUGAUGCACACAAAACUGCAAAACAAGCAGAGUAAACAACCGCAGCCUAAAAAUCUUUUGAGCCCUUAGAGAUUCUUCAGUCUAAGAUCAGCUUUCCCUCUUUUUGGAGAAAGAAGAAACGCUUUUAACAACAUAAUACAUCAAUAAAUCAUAAUUUUCAUGAUUGUAUUAUUUAAAAUUUCUGUUUCCAGGAGCACUUUCUCAAUCUGUUUGUUCCAGGGCCUGAGGAGGGAUCCAGAUGGUUAACUCCAAAAAACAAAUUAUCUGAAGAUCUCAAAAGUUUUGAAAGACCCCGGUUUACAUGCCCUCAAAAGAAAUGCUCAUGUAUGAUUCUCAAAAAUGUCUGACUUUAAAACAAUGAGUUAUAGAAAUGUUGUUUAAGUUACAGGUCACCAAAGGUUUCAUAGGAAAAGAUGCAGAAGCUGCAGCAUGUUCAGAGCGUACAUUCAAUUAAGAAACUGAAGCAAAGCAUCUCCAUAAUAUGACUCCAAACUCUGUCGCUUCACUCCGUCACUCAGGUCUGGUCUUGCUCCUGGUCCUGGUCCAGUUGUAGGGCCCGCCCCUGCAACAGCACAAGAAACAGGACAGAGAAAUGCACGGACCCUGACAGUGAGACGCAGGAUCAUCUGCACGUGAGUUUUUCUUUUUCUGCUCAGAAUUAUGAAUUAUGCCUUCACUGCCUCUGGAAAAGAAGGUUUCAGUAAAUCACAGCUCCUGCAUGGACUGAGAGUGUGUGAGGAUGUUGAUGUUGACCUCUGCGGUAGUCUGAUGUUGUUCGGUGUCUUCAGAGCAGACCCGCAGAGUGUUUGAGGAGGUCAAAGAGACUUUUUUGGGUGUUUCUUUGUAUUUCUCUCUCAGUUUUGCACUUUCAGGUUCAUAUUUCUGCAGAGUGCACCCUCACUGCUUUGUUUUGAUCCCUCUGCAGCAGCGUGUUGGCAGCUUGAAGCUGAUUAUGUAACCCUAGCACAGCUGAGAUGUUUUCCUCAGCCUCCUCAUGUAGAGCAGCUGCUGUUCUCUGAAUGAAUCUCACUGCAGUAAAAAAAAAAAAAAAAAGUUUCCCGCUUGGAUGUAAACUGGAUUUGUGGAAGUACAGGGAAAAACCACAGACACUGAAUCGUCCAGGAAACUAUGUAAAGCUCAAUGAGCAACUCUGCGGUCAUUCGUCUGCUGAUAUUUUUGGAUGUUUACAAAUAUUUUUAGUUCAGAAAAACACUCUGUUGUCAUGUUUCCACUGCAGAAAGUUUCCCUCAGGGACGGGGAACCAUUGGAGGAACUCUAGGGACAGGAACCAGGGUCAGCAAAGAGUAAAACCAGAGUCAGGAGUUUUUUCCAUUAGACGUUCACGUUUCUCACUGCUGCUGUAAAGAACUUUUAACUGCUGUAUCGGGUCUAAAUUUGCAUGUUUGUUUUACACAUACAGUUUUAAUCAUUUCCACCUUCAGGACUUUUAAGGAACAUUCUUUAGAGAGAUGACUAACGCUCAGCCUGUUGAGUGUUUGUAGAAUUCUGCAGGGGGCGCUAGCAGCUAAUGUAGCCUCAUUAACUUAUUAAUUGUUUUUACGAACCAGACUUGUUGAGUGACUCUUACUGGAGUCAUUUCUCUCUCCGGUUUCCCUGAAUUUCACAGCAAGAACCUGAAAUCAGGCAGCUGUGAGUGAGGGAAACCCUGAGUAAUAACCUCCAGCAGCCUCCUGGGGUGUCUUUGUUGUGGUGUGUGUGUGUGUGUGUGUGUGUGUGUGUGUGUGUGUGUGUGUGUGUGUGUGUGUGUGUGUGUGUGUGUGUGUGUGUGUGUGUGUGUGUGUGUGUGUGCCCAAAGAGCAGACACAUUAGAGGCUAAGUGGAGCCCUGCAGGGACCCUGAAACCUCCAGGGAGGAUCAUUUAAGACCUAAACCCCCAAAAGGCACACACACACACACACACACACACACAUUUUAUUGUUUGUGGUGAAAUUGGCCAAAAGUAUGUGGACGCAGUUACUGCCGUUAUAGGCCUCUAAAUUAAAGGGUUGCCCAGAAUUUGGUCAUAUGUAUGUAGGGUCCAAUCUGUCUCUGUUACAUUAAAAAAAUCUAAACUCUCAAAAUUUGACGCUUCAUGAGCUCAAAAUAUUCUAGUCAUGCACAUUUAUGUGGUUGAAUUAUUUAAUGUAAUCAGCAGCACUUAUUUCUGUUUUUAUAUUAGAUCCUCAACAUUAAUAUUUAUUGAAAUACGAGCCGUUUUCUCCUGAUUGUGCUGAAAUAUUUACUCUUCCUGCCUCUCUGUGCAGAUUAUCUCCACUCUGUCCUCUCUCUCUCUCUCCUGAUGACAAUAGGGAGGAAGUGCAGCCUAACCUUUUGAAGCUUCUGAGUCUGUCUUCACUGUCCUUUCUCUAAAAUUAAUCUAAAUAUGACCCUGUCUUCUAUUCAGAGAUGUUAAAGUGUGUUUGUUUUCCUGCCCUGCUAAACCGGCUCCCUGACGAGCUCUGACCCGGCUGUUUGUGUUGGAAGGUUAGCAGCUCAGGUGGGGAUAUGGCGGUGGCAGGAGGGGGUCAGGUUUAACACUGCCGCCUGUGUCCUGCAAACCACAGCGAGCUGUGUUUGGUUUCUCUGCGGUCUGACAAGCGCACAGUCGUGUCAGUGUUGUUGUUGUUAAAAUGUUUAGACAGCGAGGAGAGGAAACCUGAAGCUCAACGCUGAGGAUUUCCUCUCGUGUUGGUCUGUUUGAGGCGUUGGAUUCUAAACUCUGCUCUGCAGGUUUUACUUGUCUUAUCAUUUUAAACUUUCUCUCUCCUUUUUACAUAAAUCUUCAUCAGGACACAUUAUAAAGAAAAUGUCCAAAUCCAGAGUUGGAGCUUUCUCAGGUGGACAACCUGCCUUGUCAGUAGGACUGGCCAAUUAUAUGAUUGUGAUAAAUUUCAGUUCGAUCACGGUGAUCAACUGUGAGUAUAUUUACUUGAUCAAACAUAGCGGAAAUUUACGUGACAACAGCCAAUCAGAGUCGAGCUUUUCCUGCUCACUCCUGAAGGCUAAGUUGCCAGACAAGUAAACAGGAUAAGUAAACAGAAUAACUGAACGUGGAGCUAAACGUGGAGCUGGGGGCAGCAAAAUAGAUGUCAGCCGUGACUUUGAGUCAUCCUCCAAAGAUGUUAUUGUUGAGAAGUUAUUCAAUGUCAGUUGUGUUGCGGUGGUUCAGGUAUCUCCAAACUAACAACGACCAAUUAAGCCGAUGUGCAAGGUAUAUCAGCUGUCGGUGCCCUAAAAAGACGGCAACACAACAAAUCUGUUUAAUCAUCUGAAGAAUUACUUCCCCGGUGAUUAUGCGGAAAGCAUGAAACUGUGAGCGGUGUCUGCGCAGUCUGUCACUGCUGACGGCACGAGUAGCAUUAGCAGUUUAGCCACAACUAGCAGUGCAGCCACCAGACCAAAGCAGCGAUCAAUCAAAUAAUCUACAUUUACAUCCUCUAAUGUUUAUAUUUUAAGGCGUCUUCAUUAUCUUUGAGGGGGGGGUUUGUUUAUUUAUCUUAUUCAAAUUGCUUGUCGAACUAAUCUCUAGUUUCUUUAGUUUUUAGAACAGCUGCUUUAAAACUGGCAGUUCGAAAAAAAAAAGUGAUAAUAAUCGAGAUCGGACGAUAUGACAAAAUAUUGUGAUCAUCUUUUUUGCCAAAUCGCCUAGUCCUACCUGUCAGUCGUUCCCUCUGUCUCUGGUUUCUGUUUGGGUCUCGACUCUGAUGUGAGGACGUAAACUGACCCUCAUUACCUCCCAGCACAGACUAAUGAGCCUCACUCAGUAUUCAUGAACAUGCUGUUUAACUGAGAGCUGGCAUAUGGAGAGCCAGGUCUGAACGCCCCGCUGACCGACUGAAAACAGCUUUCUAUUGUUGAGGAGUCCAAACAAAGAGCCGGGAGAUGAUCUCUGCACCUCCACACGUCCCACUGAUCACUGAGGUGUUUCACUUAUUGAUCACUUGAGCCUCUGUUAUGCUAAACUGAAUCCUUCAUCCAUUUGGAGAUUGAUUUCUUUGUUCCUGAGCUGACGUUACUUUCACUUUAGCCCUAAAGCUCCUUCCACACAUGCUCAAGUUUCUGGAACUGUUCAUCCUGACUUUAUCCAGACCUGUCGGUGGGAGGUUAGGUGCUCUGGAAGUGGGCGCUAUACCACUUCAAAUCCAGUGACUGGUGCCAUGAUCUGCCAUCAUUACCAGUUUAAGUUUAAUGACACCCUGUACUGUAGAUGAUAAAAUCCACAGAUUUAGCCAUUUAAUGUAAAAACACACUGAUCUUGACUUUGUUGUCUUUUCAGUGUUUGUUGUCCUGGUCCCAUCUUUUUUUUUUUAACAGUUUUGUUGACAUCAAACUUGAAAUAAGCAUUGUUUAAAUGGCUUAUAUGUUGCCUUUGGACUAUUUUCACUUACCAUCACUUUACAUCCAAACUCCUCUGGUCAUGGGCGGCUAUGGCUCACUCAGUAUUCAGCUUUUUCUACAAGCUGCUUCAGUGUUUCUUCACCUGAGCAAAGAAAGCAGUUUGAACUUUUGUCACCUUUUCCCUUUAGCUCUGAUCUAAGAUAUAAAGGGGUUAAAAAUGAAACUUCAGCUGCAGGUUUUUUUGUGGAGGAAAAAGAGUUGACGUUUCUUAAAAUAUGAAGGCAGCGGCACGUGAGCUGGCUGAGGUUUGACCGUGGAGGAAAACUGCUGCUUGUUUCUUGGACAGCGACGAGACACCUGACAGAACCCAGCACGCGCACACACUCACACACACUGCGAAGGUGAAGCCAGCAGUUUGUUUUUCUUUCUGUCACAGUGGGCGUCCAGCUGAGCGUGGCCACAGCAGCAGCAGCAGAAGAAGUAGAAGAAGAAGAAGGGCCUCUGUGUUCAGCUGGAAUGUGCGCUGGAUUUUCUACCUAAUUAACCUCCAUGUUGUCAUGCGAGACCGCCGUUUUCUGCUCGAUGGAGAAGUGCGAUUGGCUCGGCCGCCCCGUUCUGUCCUUAAGCUGUCUGAUCCGACGGUGUUUGUGUUGGAGGCACGAGACCGAGCCGAUAGGCUCAGACGCAGCCGAGCAGAACUCAAUUAGUGUUCAAAGUCGGGCAGCUUCUGGAUAAUAAACCUAAUUGGAUCAAAUUUGCACCAGGAUAGGCUCCAUUAUCCCCCUGUUAUGGCCAAGCAGGAGGUGAAAGAGAGCCUUUAAAAUUCUUUUACACUCAAAUUCACAAGUCUGCAGAUUACAGACCAACAUAAACUAAAGUCAAGGCCCGAGAGGCUCCAUCAGACUGAAACAGCUUUGCUUAAAGAGCUCGACUGAGUCUUCACGUUGAGAUUUAAGACAUGAGUGCACUUCUCUUUCUUAAUCAGUGCAUAUAUCCAGGUAGAAAGAUGCUAAAGUUCUCCAAAUGCUGCACAGGUGAUCCACUUUAUUCUCAUGGCAGCCCUCUUAAUCUAAAACCACAUUGGGAUCUUUGAGGAAACAGUACUGCUGUGUUUCAGGGUCUGGUUAUUCAAAGGUAAUCUGACUGGAUUAAGGUUAUCAGAUCAGUUCAGAUCUCAAAAACAGGUUGUUCAAAAGAGAAAAUCAGACAAACGUGAUCAGAUUAUAUCAAGUAAUCUAAUCCUGGUUCCAAAUAUGUGAGGUGGAUUUGGAUAACUUUGAACGAGAGAGGUCAGGAUUAUCCUGAUCCCAGCAGAGAGCUGGUCCCAGACUAGACAAAAUGUGACCAAAAAGGAAGUCGGUCAAACAAACAUCUUCACUUUGAUACAGAUUUUUCAGACUUUUUUUCUAAUAUUUGGUUCUUAAAUUGUUUUUCUACAGUAACAGGGUAGAUAUUGUAGAUACUCAGGUCUUCUAAAAUUAAGGAAUAUCCAACAUAAUAUUUCCCGUUUAAAUCAGCUGUGAGAGUUUUUCACUUGGUGUGGAUUUUUGUGAUCCCAUGUAGCACGAAGGUUCAUUAAAAGCAUUGAUAAUCAGGAUUUGGUAACUUUUAAUAACCCGCACCGUAUAUCCUCCCCAAAUCUGAACUC